UACGGAGGAUGCGAGCGUUAUCCGGAUUUAUUGGGUUUAAAGGGUGCGUAGGCGGGUAAGCAAGUCAGAAGUGAAAUCCAUGGGCUUAACCCAUGAACUGCUUUUGAAACUGUUUAUCUUGAGUGAAGUAGAGGUAGGCGGAAUUCCCGGUGUAGCGGUGAAAUGCGUAGAGAUCGGGAGGAACACCAGUGGCGAAGGCGGCCUACUGGGCUUUAACUGACGCUGAAGCACGAAAGCGUGGGUAGCAAACAGG
rnacentral:rRNA from 1 species